rnacentral:rRNA from 1 species
CGCGUAGGCGGCCGGGUAAGUAGGGGGUGAAAUCUCACAGCUCAACUGUGAGGCUGCCUUCUAGACUGCCUGGCUUGAGCACGGUAGAGGCUGGUGGAAUUCCCGGUGUAGCGGUGGAAUGCGUAGAGAUCGGGAAGAACAUCGGUGGCGAAGGCGGCCAGCUGGGCCGUUGCUGACGCUGAGGCGCGAAAGCGUGGGGAGCAAACAGGAUUAGAUACCCUGGUAGUCCACGCUGUAAACGAUGGGUACUAGGCGUCGGGGGGAGCGACCCCUUCGGUGCCGUCGCUAACGCAGUAAGUACCCCGCCUGGGGAGUACGGUCGCAAGACUGAA